UGUUCUGAGGGGCGUUGCGACAUGACUUAACCGUCAUGCCAGGCUCAGAAUACGAUCAGAUAACGAACCGCGCUCAUCAUAU
rfam:Advenella mimigardefordensis DPN7, complete genome.